rnacentral:rRNA from 1 species
CCUACGGGAGGCAGCAGUUGGGAAUAUUGGACAAUGGGGGAAACCCUGAUCCAGCAAUGCCGCGUGAGUGAUGAAGGCCCUCGGGUCGUAAAGCUCUUUCAGCGGGAAAGAACAAAUGACGGUACCCGCAGAAGAAGCACCGGCUAACUCCGUUUCCAGCAGCCGGGA